rnacentral:rRNA from 1 species
AUUGAACGCUGGCGGCAUGCCUUACACAUGCAAGUCGAACGGCAGCACGGGAGCAAUCCUGGUGGCGAGUGGCGAACGGGUGAGUAAUAUAUCGGAACGUGCCCGGUCGUGGGGGAUAACGUAGCGAAAGCUACGCUAAUACCGCAUACGAUCUACGGAUGAAAGCGGGGGAUCGCAAGACCUCGCGCGAUUGGAGCGGCCGAUAUCAGAUUAGGUAGUUGGUGAGGUAAAGGCUCACCAAGCCGACGAUCUGUAGCUGGUCUGAGAGGACGACCAGCCACACUGGGACUGAGACACGGCCCAGACUCCUACGGGAGGCAGCAGUGGGAAUUUGGACAAUGGGCGCAAGCCUGAUCCAGCAAUGCCGCGUGCAGGAUGACGGUCCUAUGGAUUGUAAACUGCUUUUAUACAGAAGAAACACUCCGACGUUGCGGAGCUUGACGGUACUGUAAGAAUAA